rnacentral:lncRNA from 1 species
CACCGUCACCAUCACCGGCACCAACACCGUUACCAUCACUGUCACCAUCACCGUCACCAUCACCAAGACUGUCACCGUCACCAUCACCGUCACCAUCACCGUCACCAUCACCGUCACCAUCACCGUCACCAUCACCGUCACCAUCACCGUCACCAUCACCGUCACCAGCACCGUCACCAUCACCGUCACCAUCACCGUCACCAACACCGGCACCAGCACCGUCACCAUCACCGUCACCAUCACCAAGACUGUCACCGUCACCAUCACUGUCACCAUCACUGUCACCAUCACCGCCAUCACCGGCACCAACACCGUCACCAUCACUGUCACCAUCACCGUCACCAUCACCGUCACCAUCACCAAGACUGUCACCGUCACCGUCACCAUCACCGUCACCAGCACCGGCACCAGCACCGGCACCAGCACCGUCACUGUCACCAAUUGUUGUUGCCAUGGACACCGCUGUUGUCACCAUCACUGCUUGUCACUGUCACUAUCACAGCUACAGUCGCUGUCGCUGUCACCAACAUUGUCACCAACAUUGUCACCAACACCAUCACCAUCACCAUCACCAACACCAUCACUGUCACCGGUCGUUGUCACCAACAUUGUCACCGUCACCAACGCCAUCACUGUCACCAAGACUGUCACCGUCACUGUCACCAAUUGUUGUUGCCAUAGACACCACCGUUGUCACCAUCACUGCUUGUCACCGUCACUAUCACAGCUACAACCGCUGUCACUGUCACCAACACUGUCACUGUCACUGUUACUGUCACUGUCACCAGUUGUUGUUGCCAUGGACACCACCGUUGUCACCAUCACUGUCACUGUCACCAUCACUGUCACUGUCACCAAUUGUUGUUGCCACGGUCACCGCUGUUGUCACCAUCACUGCUUGUCACCAUCACUAUCAGAGCUACAGUCGCUGUCACUGUCACCAACAUUGUCACCGUCACCAACACCAUCGCUGUCACCAACACCGGCACCAACACCGUCACUGUCACCAGUUGUUGUUGCCAUGGUCACCGCUGUUGUCACCAUCACUGCUUGUCACUGUCACUAUCACAGCUACAAUCGCUGUCACCAUCACUGUCACUGUUACCGUCACUGUCACCGGUUGUUGUUGCCAUGGUCACCGCUGUUGUCACCGUCACUGCUUGUCACUGUCACUAUCACAGCUACAGUUGCUGCCACCGUCACUGUCACCCACUGUCAGCUCCCAGUGUCACCCCCAGUGUCACCCAGUGUCACCCAGUAUCAGCCCCCGGUGUCACCCAGUGUCACCCAUUGUCACCCCCAGUGUCACCCAGUGUCAGCUCCCAGUGUCACCCAGUGUCAGCCCCACUGUCACCCAGUGUCACCCAGUGUCCCCCCCACUGUCACCCAGUGUCACCCAGUGUCACCUCGCAGUGUCACCCAGUGCCCCCCCACUGUCACCCAGUGUCA